CGAAUCUUUAAUGGUUUAUGCUUGCUCCCAAACUGAAUUGGUAUAAAAUCCGGUGCACCGGAUUUAUGGUUCUUAAUCGAAUUGAAAUUGGGUACAGAAAAAUGAAUUGUAGUUUUUCCUAACUAAUUCUGCGGCAUUCAUUUCUCAACUAAACCUUAGGAUCAAACCCUUUUUUUUCCUUUAAUUAUAUUUAUUUAUUUAUUGCAUAAUAAUAACAUAUAAAUUCACCCACUUUUCAUUAUCUUACAGAAUAAAAACAUUUCCUUAUUUAGUUAUAACAUAUAAACCCUGAAAGUUUGAGGGCCCGAUCUGAAAUUGAAUUAUCUACGCAUUCACAGAGAAAAAACCAGUGAUGGCCAGAGAAUUUCCUGCUAUACUUGGCGGUAGCAACAGAGAUUAUAUUUCUGAGAUUUUAUAUUUGUUAGGAAUUAUCUUUCUAUCUCUUUCAGUUUUAUCAAUCAUCCUAUUUUCAUGUGGCGAUGAAAAGAAAAAUCAAAAGCAACGGAAAAAAAGAGACGGACGUGGUAUUAGUGGAAUUGGUGGUGACGGUGGCGGCGGAGGUGGUGGAAGCGGUGGCGGAAGCGGUUACGGUGGAGGCGGCGGUUAGAUCCAUAUGUUAUGCGGUAUGGAGAGAGUUAAUUUUUAGGGCUAUUCUCGAUUAGGUACAUGAAUCUGAACAGAGUUGGAAGCACAGCUUAUGGAGUUCAUAGAAGAGCUACAUCCACUUUCAAUUUCAUUUAGUGUGACCUGAGCACGAAACCGCUGCCAUGAUCAUCUUGAUUAUCCUUAUCUUGAUUUGCCCUCUUCUCUGUGGGAUCAUUUGUUGCUUGUUUUCUCUGUACUCUGCUAACAUUGGAGAGCAAAUUGGGAUGUCGAAUUCCAUAUUUAGAAUAGUAUAACUGAUGAUUUUGUUAAUAUAGUAAUUGUACUGAAAGGGGAAGGGGGUUGAAUUGAAAGGGAAAAGGAAGGUUUAGAAUUGCAGUGAAGUUGGGAUGCGAGUGAGGUUGCUAUAAAGAGAGUGUGGGUGGGAACUAGAGAACUGUAGCAGGCGUGUUCACCAAGAUUCGUAUUUCUUUUUCUCUUUUUCUUUUU